rnacentral:rRNA from 1 species
AUUGAACGCUGGCGGCAGGCUUAACACAUGCAAGUCGAACGAGAGGCGGACGGGUGAGUAAUGCUUGGAAAUCUAGCUUAUGGAGGGGGCUACCUACGGGAAAGUGUAGCUAAUAACGCGAAACGUAGGCUGAGCCCAAGGGGUAUUAGGUAGUUGGUGAGGUAAAGGCGCACCAAGCCGACGAUCGCGAGCGGGUCUGAGAGGCUGACCAGCAACACGGUGACACAGACACGGCCCAGCCGCCUAGGUGAGGCAGCAGUGGGGAAGAUUGCGCAAUGGGGGCAACCUGACGCAGCCAUGCCGCGUGACUGAAGAAGGCCUUCGGGUUGUAAAGUUCUUACGGUAGCGAGGCGUUACCUACAGAAGAAGCACCGGCUAACGCCGUGCCAGCCGCCGCGGUAAUUC